rnacentral:sRNA from 1 species
ACUUAGAGAAGAUGCACCUAGCCCUCAAGAAACGUGGACCCUAACUGGUGGAAUGUCAGGGUGGGGACAUCCUCAUGGAGAUGGGGGGAAAGGAAUAUGGAAUGUGGCGCAGUUAGAGAGUGGACCAGGAGAGGGACAAAAUGCGAACUUAAAAAAACUUAAACAGUUUUUAAAAAAGAAAGUUCAAAGGUAUUCUUGCAAAAGUAUGGAAACCUUAUAACUGAAAAUGUGAAUAUAGCUAGAUGUGUUCAGAUGGAUGGGUGGAGUACUUGCCAUUGUGUUAGUGAAUUAAGGAGAUAACCUUUAGGACAAUGCAUUUUACUCCACAUAUUGUAUUAAUUUAAAAAAUAAUGAUUGUAAUGAAAUAGAAGUCAGCUAAAUUUUUUAAGAAAUCGAAGAGAAAUGCAAGUUACCAUCUAAGGUCAUUGAGUAAAUUAUGUCACUCUAGAAUUCUCAUGCAUUUUCAAACUGUGAUGAACGUUUAAUGGAUAAAGAGGACUUGGAUGCCAGACUGUUGUGUGCCGUGCUGUACUCAGAUUAGUGUCACUCCAGGACAUAAAUAUGUAUGGCGCUCCUCUGAGUAGAAUAAGGCUCACUCUGUUCCCAAUUUGAUACACCUCGGUGAUAAUGGUGCUAUAUGUACAGCCAACCUUGACAACCUUCUAUGGUCAUUUUGUACACUACUGCAUACAGGGAUAUAUGGUUCUUUGUUGUGGUCUCUGUUUAAUCUUUAUCACAUGUACAGUUGCAUGUAAAAAGUCAUAAAGACUUUCUUAGUGAUAUGAAAAUAAACAAAAGAACCCAUCCAUCUUGUGUUUAUAUAGUUCAUUGAACAGACAGAAUAUCAAAGCACCAAAAUUGAGCUACAAAGUGAUGUAUAGGCUAGUCAGGAUGCCAUGGGUAUUGAAUCCCAAGUUCCUGGGACACCAUAACAAGAGAACAUAGUCUACAAGGUAAGUUUAAAGAUAUGAUUAACAAUGCAUAUAGAACAUUUCAAAAUUAAGCAUUAGCACAUUCACAUUCAAGUUGUUCUAAGAUUUGGGUGAUUGGAUGUAACAGAUUCUCUAAACAAAAUAAUCAAGUAUAUUAGGGUUUAUUGAUACUUCAAUGGCAGUACUAUUUAUAAUUAUUAUAGGUUUGAAUAAUACUUUCUUAGUUACACAUUGAAAGAAGUAUUCUAGUAGCUCUCACUAUUUUUAUUUUAUGUAUUGUAAGUGUUUUAACUAAAUAUCUAUUAUGUAAGAUACACGCAGGCUGCUGUACAUGGAGGAGAGUAAAGGAUAUCAGAUUCCCUGGAACUGAAAUACUGGAUGAUUAUAAGCCAAGAUAUGACUGAAAUAAAUUCCAGUCUCCUGCAAGAGCAUGAGAGGCUAUGUAGUAAAAAUCAGUCACAAAAAGAGAGUGCAAAUGAAAGAACAUACUCUUAACAUAUGUGUGGAGAAGAUGGCUUCGUAAUAGAACAUCAAGAUAGAUUAAAUGGAAAAUAAUUAACACCUACAUGUUACAAGAGAAGAAAAACAACCUGAAUGAUAAAUCCGUAUUCACAUAUGUGAAAUUGCACUCCCUCUUGUUUUGAGAAGACCAUUCAUGGAAACAGAAGACGCAUCAGAGGAAUUUAUGGUGAAGAACUGUGUGUGUGUGUGUGUGU